rnacentral:lncRNA from 7 species
AUCUCCUUGCUGAGCUGUGGUUUGGUGGACUGUUUCUUUUGUGCUGAUGAAUGAGUUUCAUGUAACCAGUUUUUGGAGGUGGCUUGGUGACAGCAGAUGGGUGGCCAGCUGAUGGACAGCACUGGGCUGAUUUAUCUUUUUCCCCUGGCAGCCAUGGCCGUGGCAUGGUGCUUUGAGGAAGCACCCUCCAAACGAGGACCUCCAGAGCUGCAACCUGUCUCCCUCCAUGUGGGGCUUCCCUUGGCCAUUACAGGGAAGGUGUUGAUUCAGGUUCUGUUCCCAGGAGGGUCUCCCAAGCUUGCGUGCAUCUUGAAAAGGAGGUACCGAUGACAAAGUUGCAAGGAGGGAAUUUGAAGCCUCUUAUAUGGAGAGAGCUCCUUGGAGAAGCUGUGUUCAGCCUUACGCUUCCCACCAGAUCAGAGCCUUCCUGGGAUGAAAUUACUGUCAGUGAAGGGGCCCUUGCAGGAUGUGAUGUUCAUUCCCUCCUAGGUGUCUGCCUAGGGUGGAGAACCAGAAGCCACCCAAUGCCUUUUUAUUCCUUCAGGACACUGAUCCUCUAAAAGCUGCCAGAAUCAGCUACCAGGUCCAAGGCUCCUCCAAGACUGAGGAGAAGCUGGGUGCAAGGCUGGAUUGUGAACGCUGCCUGACUUCCAUAACCUUCACCAGACAUCAGCCAGACCAGCCUGCAGAGCCCAUGAGCACAGCGCUCUCCUAAUGUCCCUUUCCAGGUCAACUGGUGAUACCCAAGAGGUUCCUGAUGGGCCUCAGGCACUAGAGCCUCCCGUUACAUCUCUGAGCUGAGUCAAACCAGCUUAUUCUCUCUUUGGAUGACUCAAGCCUAGUUCAUUCGUACGCACACAGAGUAUGCUUCCCCCUGCUGGCAAUAUUUUGUUUAUUAUUUUUAAUCUAUGCCCAUAAAUUGGCAAGGAGGAGAAGGCAGAUAAAAUGGCAAGGGGAACCUCAGGAGACCGGUUGGGCUCAUUAAAUGUUUGGCACUCUGUGAUUAUCUGUUGGCAAUGAUAUGCCACUGCUAUGUUUUAACAUGGAACAUGAUACCUAAAUAUGCAGGGGAAUCUCCCCUACCCACUUUUGGUACACUUGAGAGACAGGAGGAAUUCAAUCAUCUGUGACCUGGAUUGUAUUUUUAAUGGCUGCCAAGCUAGAUAAAAUAUUUAAAUAUUCACUUUUAUAUCAGCCCACAUGGGGACUUGAGCAUUUCAGGUUGUAUAAUGCAGGGUGGCCUACUUUUGGUG